GACGAACGCUGGCGGCGUGCUUAACACAUGCAAGUCGAACGGAAAGGCCCUGCUCUUGUGGGGUGCUCGAGUGGCGAACGGGUGAGUAACACGUGAGUAACCUGCCCCUGACUUUGGGAUAACUUCAGGAAACUGGGGCUAAUACCGGAUAGGAGCUCCUGCUGCAUGGUGGGGGUUGGAAAGUUUCGGCGGUUGGGGAUGGACUCGCGGCUUAUCAGCUUGUUGGUGGGGUAGUGGCUUACCAAGGUUUUGACGGAUAGCCGGCCUGAGAGGGUUACCGGCCACAAUGGGACUGAGAUAGGGCCCAGAAUCCUACGGGAGGCAGCAGUGGGGAAUAUUGCAGAAUGGGCGGAAGCCUGAUGCAGCAACGCCGCGAGCGGGAUAACGGCCUUCGGGUUGUAAACCGCUUUCGCCUGUGACGAAGCGUGAGUGACGGUAAUGGGUAAAGAAGCAACGGCUAACUACGUG
rnacentral:rRNA from 1 species